rnacentral:rRNA from 1 species
GCUCGAGUGGCGAACGGGUGAGUAACACAUGAGUAACCUGCCCUUGACUUUGGGAUAACUUCAGGAAACUGGGGCUAAUACCGGAUAGGAGCUCCUGCUGCAUGGUGGGGGUUGGAAAGUUUCGGCGGUUGGGGAUGGACUCGCGGCUUAUCAGCUUGUUGGUGGGGUAGUGGCUUACCAAGGCUUUGACGGGUAGCCGGCCUGAGAGGGUGACCGGCCACAUUGGGACUGAGAUACGGCCCAG